CAAACCUUCCUCCUAGGCCGCUGCAGAGCUGUAGAAACCCAGUUGCACAGGGCUUUAUGCCUGGCAAGGGCACCCCUUGCUGUGUGCAUCCCAGAGGAGGCACGUCUGAAGUCUGCAGAGGAAGCUUCUAUCUUCCCUUCCAACGAAUUCCUGCUCAGGCCAGCAAGGAAGAGAGUUUGAGUUGUUUAUGGGACUCGUUUAUGGAACGCACACGCUGUGCCAGGCAUUGUGCACAGAGAGACCCAGUUCCUGCCCUCUUGGAGUUUAUAUGACAUGAGCUGAAGACAGACAAGAAGCAAGUGUAAGAGCUACCAGAGGGAGGAAAGUGGAAGCUACCAGACGGAGGAAGCAUAAACCAGAGUAACCCUCUGGCCCAAGAUGGCUGCUGGAGCCUCAGCUACUACAUGUGGAUUCCAGGCCAGAAGUAGAGGGAGGGGAAAACAAAGGAGUAUACCUUCCGGGGAUAUCAGCUUUUUUGUAUCAUCUUCCUGAGGUCCUGUGCAUUUCCAUAGUCACAUAUAUGCCCCUAACCGUCUUCUCAGGCCUUAAAUGUUUGGGCGUGUUGUGAAUCUCCAAGACUGAGCCACAAGAUGCAGCAUUUUCCUAAUGACCUCAGGCCCUUUUUGAAUGGGCACUUUUGGGAAUCAGCGUUCUGCAAAGCAUACCUUGGGAAGCCACAGAGAGCUUUUCCCUGAAGCAGGGUUUCUCAACCUGUACGUUGUUGGCAUUUGGGGCAGGAUAAUUCUUAGUUGUGGGCGGCUGUCCUGUGCAUUGGAGGGUAUUUACCAGCAUCCCUGGCCUCUGCUCACCAGAUGCCAAUAGCAAUUCCUCCCCCACCCUGUUGUGACAACCAAAAGUGUCCCCAGGUAUUGCCAAAUGUUCCCUGCUGGCAAAAUGGCCCUCAGAUGAGAACCUUUACUCUAGGGAAAUUUCUAGAAUCAAGAAAAUACAUUGCAAUGAUAGGAGAGACCACUCUCUCAGGUAUGAAUAUUCAGCUGACUGUUAGAGUCCUUGGCAAUAAGAUUGUUAUUUUUUAAAAGAGACAGUAUUACUGGUGAAGAUUCAUUUCAAAAAUGGAAAUGAAAAUAAAAGUUGC
rnacentral:lncRNA from 10 species